CUGCCCGUAGCUCAACUGGAUAGAGCAACGGCCUUCUAAGCCGUAGGUCGCAGGUUCGAGUCCUGCCGGGCAGGCCA
rnacentral:tRNA from 1 species